GUCGAGCGCUCUCUUCGGAGGGAGCGGCGGACGGGUUAGUAACGCGUGGGAAUAUACCCUUUGGUACGGAAUAGCCUCUGGAAACGGAGAGUAAUACCGUAUGAGCCCUUCGGGGGAAAGAUUUAUCGCCAAAGGAUUAGCCCGCGUUAGAUUAGGUAGUUGGUGGGGUAAUGGCCUACCAAGCCUACGAUCUAUAGCUGGUUUUAGAGGAUGAUCAGCAACACUGGGACUGAGACACGGCCCAGACUCCUACGGGAGGCAGCAGUGGGGAAUCUUGGACAAUGGGGGCAACCCUGAUCCAGCCAUGCCGCGUGAGUGAUGAAGGCCUUAGGGUCGUAAAGCUCUUUCGCCUGUGAAGAUAAUGACGGUAGCAGGUAAAGAAACCCCGGCUAACUCCGUGCCAGCAGCCGCGGUAAUACGGAGGGGGUUAGCGUUGUUCGGAAUUACUGGGCGUAAAGCGCACGUAGGCGGACUGGAAAGUUGGGGGUGAAAUCCCAGGGCUCAACCCUGGAACUGCCUCCAAAACUAUCAGUCUAGAGUUCGAGAGAGGUGAGUGGAAUUCCGAGUGUAGAGGUGAAAUUCGUAGAUAUUCGGAGGAACACCAGUGGCGAAGGCGGCUCACUGGCUCGAUACUGACGCUGAGGUGCGAAAGUGUGGGGAGCAAACAGGAUUAGAUACCCUGGUAGUCCACACCGUAAACGAUGAAUGCCAGUCGUCGGGUAGCAUGCUAUUCGGUGACACACCUAACGGAUUAAGCAUUCCGCCUGGGGAGUACGGUCGCAAGAUUAAAACU
rnacentral:rRNA from 1 species